rnacentral:rRNA from 1 species
ACAAGCAGCGGAGCAUGUGGUUUAAUUCGAAGCAACGACGAAGAACCUUACCAGAUCUUGACAUCCAAUUGACCAUCUUUUAAUCGAGAUUUUGCCUUCGGGUACAAUUGAGACAGGUGGUGCAUGGUUGUCGUCAGCUCGUGUCGUGAGAUGUUGGGUUAAGUCCCGCAACGAGCGCAACCCUUAUGUUUAGUUGCAAACAGGUCAAGCUGUGCACUCUAGACAGACUGCCGUGGACAACACGGAGGAAGGUGGGGAUGACGUCAAAUCAUCAUGCCCCUUAUGAUCUGGGCUACACACGUGCUACAAUGGCCGGUACAACGGGCAGCGAAGGAGCGAUCCGGAGCGAAUCCUAAAAAGCCGGUCCCAGUUCGGAUUGCAGGCUGAAACUCGCCUACAUGAAGUUGGAGUUGCUAGUAAUCGCGAAUCAGAAUGUCGCGGUGAAUGCGUUCCCGGGUCUU